UACGUAGGGGGCAAGCGUUAUCCGGAAUUACUGGGCGUAAAGCGCUCGCAGGCGGUUUGUUAAGUCAGAUGUGAAAUCCCCGAGCUUAACUUGGGAACUGCAUUUGAAACUGGCAAGCUAGAGUCUUGUAGAGGGGGGUAGAAUUCCAGGUGUAGCGGUGAAAUGCGUAGAGAUCUGGAGGAAUACCGGUGGCGAAGGCGGCCCCCUGGACAAAAACUGACGCUCAGGUGCGAAAGCGUGGGGAGCAAACAGG
rnacentral:rRNA from 1 species